AAAUUUGAUUGCAAUCCAAUGCGCAACUUCAACUUUUAUAACAUUACUGCUAUUAUUUAAUGUGUUGUAUUUUUCAAUCCAUUAGGUAUUCAAAGAACCUCUGAGGAAUCAAGUCAGAGCAGAGAACCGGCUGGACGAGCGCCAGUUGAAUAUAACCUUGCCUAUGCUACACUAAACGUGAGAGAAAACAAAAGAAUUCACCAGGUCAGACGCCAGGACGAUCAUGUUGUCUAUGCAAAGACUCGAUGUGGCAGAGAUGAAAAGUUGACAUAUGCCGCUCUGCAGCUGCAACAAUAAAGUAUCGGCAACAAGGAUUCAGUG